AACGAACGCUGGCGGCAGGCCUAACACAUGCAAGUCGAGCGCCCUUUCGGGGGAGCGGCGGACGGGUGAGUAACGCGUGGGAAUAUGCGCUUCUCUACGGAAUAGCCUCGGGAAACUGAGAGUAAUACCGUAUACGCCCUGUGGGGGAAAGAUUGAUCGGGGAAGGAUUAGCCCGCGUUGGAUUAGGUAGUUGGUGGGGUAAUGGCCUACCAAGCCGACGAUCCAUAGAUGGUUUGAGAGGCUGAUCAGACACACUGGGACUGAGACACGGCCCAGACUCUUACGGGAGGCAGCAGUGGGGAAUCUUAGACAAUGGGGGCAACCCUGAUCUAGCCAUGACGCGUGAGUGAUGAAGGCCUUAGGGUUGUAAAGCUAUUUCAGCUGGGAAGAUAAUGACGUUACCAGCAGAAGAAGCCCCGGCUAACUCCGUG
rnacentral:rRNA from 1 species